rnacentral:rRNA from 1 species
GACGAACGCUGGCGGCGUGCUUAACACAUGCAAGUCGAACGGAAAGGCACUGCUUUUGUGGUGUUCUCGAGUGGCGAACGCGUGAGUAACACGUGAAUAACCUGCUCUUGACUUUGGGGUAACUUCAGGAAACUAGGGCUAAUCCCGGAUAGCAUCUGCUGCUGCGUUGAGAGCGGUGGAACGUCUCGGCGGGUGGGGAUGGACGCGCGGCUUAUGAGCUUGUUGGUUGGGUAGUGGCUUACCAAGGGUUUGACGGGUCGCCGGCAUGGGAGGGUGAACGGGGACAUGGGGACUGAGAGACGGACCAGAGGCGUAUGGGGGGCAGCAGGGGGGAAUAUGGCACAGUGGUCGGAAGCCUGUGGCGGCGACGCUGGGGGUGGGAUGACGUCUUUUGGGGUGUGAAACGCUUUAGCCUGUUACGAAGCGGGACUGACGGUAACGAAUAAAGAAGCACCGGCUAACUACGUG